GACGAACGCUGGCGGCGUGCUUAACACAUGCAAGUCGAACGGAAAGGCCCUGCUUUUGUGGGGUGCUCGAGUGGCGAACGGGUGAGUAACACGUGAGUAACCUGCCCUUCACUUUGGGAUAACUUCAGGAAACUGGGGCUAAUACCGGAUAGGAGCUCCUGCUGCAUGGUGGGGGGUGGAAAGUUUCGGCGGUUGGGGAUGGACUCGCGGCUUAUCAGUUUGUUGGUGGGGUAGUGGCUGACCAAGGCUUUGACGGGUAGCCGGCCUGAGAGGGUGACCGGCCACAUUGGGCCUGAGAUACGGCCCAGACUCCUACGGGAGGCAGCAGUGGGGAAUAUUGCACAAUGGGCGGAAGCCUGAUGCAGCAACGCCGCGUGCGGGAUGACGGCCUUCGGGUUGUAAACCGCUUUCGCCUGUGACGAAGCGUGAGUGACGGUAAUGGGUAAAGAAGCACCGGCUAACUACGUG
rnacentral:rRNA from 1 species